GGGUUGUGAGGUUAAGCGACUAAGCGUACACGGUGGAUGCCCUGGCAGUCAGAGGCGAUGAAGGACGUGCUAAUCUGCGAAAAGCGUCGGUAAGGUGAUAUGAACCGUUACAGCCGGCGAUGUCCGAAUGGGGAAACCCAGUGUGAUUCGUCACACUAUCGUUAACUGAAUACAUAGGUUAACGAGGCGAACCGGGGGAACUGAAACAUCUAAGUACCCCGAGGAAAAGAAAUCAACCGAGAUUCCCCCAGUAGCGGCGAGCGAACGGGGAGCAGCCCAGAGUCUGAAUCAGCUUGUGUGUUAGUGGAACGGUCUGGAAAGUCCGACGGUACAGGGUGAUAGUCCCGUACACCAAAAUGCACAGGCUGUGAACUCGAAGAGUAGGGCGGGACACGUGGUAUCCUGUCUGAAUAUGGGGGGACCAUCCUCCAAGGCUAAAUACUCCUGACUGACCGAUAGUGAACCAGUACCGUGAGGGAAAGGCGAAAAGAACCCCGGCGAGGGGAGUGAAAAAGAACCUGAAACCGUGUACGUACAAGCAGUGGGAGCACCUUCGGGUGUGACUGCGUACCUUUUGUAUAAUGGGUCAGCGACUUAUAUUCUGUAGCAAGGUUAACCGUAUAGGGGAGCCGCAGGGAAACCGAGUCUUAACUGGGCGUUAAGUUGCAGGGUAUAGACCCGAAACCCGGUGAUCUAGCCAUGGGCAGGUUGAAGGUUGGGUAACACUAACUGGAGGACCGAACCGACUAAUGUUGAAAAAUUAGCGGAUGACUUGUGGCUGGGGGUGAAAGGCCAAUCAAACCGGGAGAUAGCUGGUUCUCCCCGAAAGCUAUUUAGGUAGCGCCUCGUGAACUCAUCUUCGGGGGUAGAGCACUGUUUCGGCUAGGGGGUCAUCCCGACUUACCAACCCGAUGCAAACUACGAAUACCGAAGAAUGUUAUCACGGGAGACACACGGCGGGUGCUAACGUCCGUCGUGAAGAGGGAAACAACCCAGACCGCCAGCUAAGGUCCCAAAGUCAUGGUUAAGUGGGAAACGAUGUGGGAAGGCACAGACAGCCAGGAUGUUGGCUUAGAAGCAGCCAUCAUUUAAAGAAAGCGUAAUAGCUCACUGGUCGAGUCGGCCUGCGCGGAAGAUGUAACGGGGCUAAACCAUGCACCGAAGCUGCGGCAGCGACACUAUGUGUUGUUGGGUAGGGGAGCGUUCUGUAAGCCUGCGAAGGUGUGCUGUGAGGCAUGCUGGAGGUAUCAGAAGUGCGAAUGCUGACAUAAGUAACGAUAAAGCGGGUGAAAAGCCCGCUCGCCGGAAGACCAAGGGUUCCUGUCCAACGUUAAUCGGGGCAGGGUGAGUCGACCCCUAAGGCGAGGCCGAAAGGCGUAGUCGAUGGGAAACAGGUUAAUAUUCCUGUACUUGGUGUUACUGCGAAGGGGGGACGGAGAAGGCUAUGUUAGCCGGGCGACGGUUGUCCCGGUUUAAGCAUGUAGGCUGAUUGUCCAGGCAAAUCCGGAUAAUCAAGGCUGAGGUGUGAUGACGAGGCACUACGGUGCUGAAGUAACAAAUGCCCUGCUUCCAGGAAAAGCCUCUAAGCAUCAGGUAACAUUAAAUCGUACCCCAAACCGACACAGGUGGUCAGGUAGAGAAUACCAAGGCGCUUGAGAGAACUCGGGUGAAGGAACUAGGCAAAAUGGUGCCGUAACUUCGGGAGAAGGCACGCUGGUGUGUAGGUGAAGUCCCUGCGGAUGGAGCUGAGACCAGUCGAAGAUACCAGCUGGCUGCAACUGUUUAUUAAAAACACAGCACUGUGCAAACACGAAAGUGGACGUAUACGGUGUGACGCCUGCCCGGUGCCGGAAGGUUAAUUGAUGGGGUUAUCCGUAAGGAGAAGCUCUUGAUCGAAGCCCCGGUAAACGGCGGCCGUAACUAUAACGGUCCUAAGGUAGCGAAAUUCCUUGUCGGGUAAGUUCCGACCUGCACGAAUGGCGUAAUGAUGGCCAGGCUGUCUCCACCCGAGACUCAGUGAAAUUGAACUCGCUGUGAAGAUGCAGUGUACCCGCGGCAAGACGGAAAGACCCCGUGAACCUUUACUAUAGCUUGACACUGAACAUUGAGCCUUGAUGUGUAGGAUAGGUGGGAGGCUUUGAAGCGUGGACGCCAGUCUGCGUGGAGCCAACCUUGAAAUACCACCCUUUAAUGUUUGAUGUUCUAACGUUGGCCCCUGACCGGGGUUGCGGACAGUGUCUGGUGGGUAGUUUGACUGGGGCGGUCUCCUCCCAAAGCGUAACGGAGGAGCACGAAGGUUAGCUAAUCCUGGUCGGACAUCAGGAGGUUAGUGCAAUGGCAUAAGCUAGCUUGACUGCGAGCGUGACGGCGCGAGCAGGUGCGAAAGCAGGUCAUAGUGAUCCGGUGGUUCUGAAUGGAAGGGCCAUCGCUCAACGGAUAAAAGGUACUCCGGGGAUAACAGGCUGAUACCGCCCAAGAGUUCAUAUCGACGGCGGUGUUUGGCACCUCGAUGUCGGCUCAUCACAUCCUGGGGCUGAAGUAGGUCCCAAGGGUAUGGCUGUUCGCCAUUUAAAGUGGUACGCGAGCUGGGUUUAGAACGUCGUGAGACAGUUCGGUCCCUAUCUGCCGUGGGCGCUGGAGAAUUGAGGGGGGCUGCUCCUAGUACGAGAGGACCGGAGUGGACGCAUCACUGGUGUUCGGGUUGUCAUGCCAAUGGCACUGCCCGGUAGCUAAAUGCGGAAGAGAUAAGUGCUGAAAGCAUCUAAGCACGAAACUUGCCCCGAGAUGAGUUCUCCCUGAGACU
rnacentral:rRNA from 1 species